rnacentral:lncRNA from 1 species
CAGUCACUGGAGGAAGCGCCGGGAGAGACGCUCGAGCUCGGGAGGUCUCGAGAACAUCGGGGAUGGAGAAGAAGACGGAUUCUGGAGGGGAACUGAGCGAAAGGAGCAAAACCAGGACGCAUCUAUAUGGAUUCCCAAUUCUGCUCAAAAGAGAAAAAUAAAAACUACCAUUCAAAAGACAAGAUUUUCUAAUCUUGGAAAUAAAACACCUAAGUGUUGGACAGACAUUUUAAACGCCUGAGGAUCUACAUCGUAUUUGAUUAAUUGAAUCGCUUCGUGCCUUGUUUUUCAUGAUGCUCGUGCCUGCGCUGGGUUGGUAAUAAUUCCCAUAUUUUUUCCAAAAGCGCAUAGUCUGACCGUGAGAACAGACGUCCAGCAGUUUCAGGGUUUACACUCCCCGAACUGGAGCCUAUUAAAAGAUCUGCCGCACAGAGGCAUCAUGGAGGGAUCACUCCGCGGAGAGAAAGACCGUCUAUGUUUUUCAUAAACUGAAGCGGGCUUCCACUACUGGGAAAAUUAAAAAUGGGAGUGGGUUGCUAUCUUUGGUUAUCUAGCUGUAUGAGUGUUAGUCAACCAUCAUAAAGCUAGAUAACCGAAAGUAGAAAUGACUUCCAAAUCUGCGCUUAAGUUUUUAUAAAACAUGCUGCAAAUGAAAGAAGUGGCAUCCAGCACAUGGCAAAAACAUCAAAAAUCACAACGCAUCUUCAAAGAACCCACUCCAGCAACUGUGUCCUGGAUGAAGAGAGCAUUUGAGAGCUGUCACAAAGUUGUCACAAAGAUGAAGGAAAAUGGCUCCUAGGUUGUCCAGAUAGGCUGAUGACAUUUCUUCAUAGGACUGAUACAGAAUGGGUCCUUCUGGCCGGAUGUGGGUGAGACAUGGUGACCUGAAGCUCAGAAUAUGUGACUGGCCUUGCAGCCAGCGUACCGUGCUCUUGUAAAAGUUAAACCAGCAAAAUAAACUCUUUUCAGAGUUGUUUUAACA